UUCGGUACAUCGGUGGACAGGUGGUGCAUGGUUGUCGUCAGCUCGUGUCGUGAGAUGUUGGUUAAGUCCCGCAACGAGCGCAACCCCUAUUGUUAGUUGCCAUCAUUCAGUUGGGCACUCUAGCGAGACUGCCGGUAAUAAACCGGAGGAAGGUGGGGAUGACGUCAAAUCAUCAUGCCCCUUAUGACCUGGGCUACACACGUGCUACAAUGGUUGGUACAACGAGUUGCGAGUCGGUGACGGCGAGCUAAUCUCUUAAAGCCAAUCUCAGUUCGGAUUGUAGGCUGCAACUCGCCUACAUGAAGUCGGAAUCGCUAGUAAUCGCGGAUCAGCACGCCGCGGUCGAAUACGUUCCCGGGCCUU
rnacentral:rRNA from 1 species